rnacentral:rRNA from 1 species
ACGAUGAUGCCCAGCUUGCUGGGCGGAUUAGUGGCGAACGGGUGAGUAAUACGUGAGUAACCUGCCCUUGACUCUGGGAUAAGCCUGGGAAACUGGGUCUAAUACUGGAUACUACCUCUUACCGCAUGGUGGGUGGUGGAAAGGGUUUUACUGGUUUUGGAUGGGCUCACGGCCUAUCAGCUUGUUGGUGGGGUAAUGGCUCACCAAGGCGACGACGGGUAGCCGGCCUGAGAGGGUGACCGGCCACACUGGGACUGAGACACGGCCCAGACUCCUACGGGAGGCAGCAGUGGGGAAUAUUGCACAAUGGGCGGAAGCCUGAUGCAGCGACGCCGCGUGAGGGAUGACGGCCUUCGGGUUGUAAACCUCUUUCAGUAGGGAAGAAGCGAGAGUGACGGUACCUGCAGAAGAAGCGCCGGCUAACUACGUGCC